UACAGGGGGGGCAAGCGUUGUUCGGAAUUACUGGGCGUAAAGGGUCUGUAGGUGGCUUGCUAAGUCAGACGUGAAAUCCCUCAGCUUAACUGGGGAACUGCGUCUGAUACUGGCAAGCUUGAGUGCAGGAGAGGAACGCGGAAUUCCAGGUGUAGCGGUGAACUGCGUAGAUAUCUGGAGGAACACCGGUGGCGAAGGCGGCGUUCUGGACUGCAACUGACACUGAGAGACGAAAGCCAGGGGAGCAAACGGG
rnacentral:rRNA from 1 species